rnacentral:rRNA from 1 species
UGGUGGGGUGACUUGUCUGGUUAAUUUCGAUAACGAACGAGAUCCGAGCUGUUUAGUUGCGAUUGCUAGUAUACUGCUGGUAAAUUGUUUUUAAAUGGACCAUCAGAUCAAUCUGAAGGAAGUGACGGGCUAAAUCA